AGAGUUUGAUCCUGGCUCAGGACGAACGCUGGCGGCAUGCCUAAUACAUGCAAGUCGAACGAGCUGACGGAGUGCUUGCACUCCCGACGCGAGUGGCGGACGGGUGAGUAACACGUGGGAAACCUACCUGUAAGUAGGGGAUAACAUUCGGAAACGGAUGCUAAUACCCUAUAGAUUUCAGUUCCGUAUGGAACUGAAAGGAAAGACGGCUUUGCUGUCGCUUACAGAUGGUCCCGCGGCGCAUUAGCUAGUUGGUGGGAUAAAAGCUCACCAAGGCUGUGAUGCGUAGCCGACCUGAGAGGGUAACCGGCCACACUGGGACUGAGACACGGCCCAGACUCCUACGGGAGGCAGCAGUAGGGAAUCUUCCGCAAUGGACGAAAGUCUGACGGAGCAAUGCCGCGUGAAUGAAGAAGGUCUUCGGAUCGUAAAAUUCUGUUGUUAGAGAAGAACAAGGAGUAAGUAACUACUACUCCCUUGACGGUAUCUAACCAGAAAGCCACGGCUAACUACGUGCCAGCAGCCGCGGUAAUACGUAGGUGGCAAGCGUUGUCCGGAUUUAUUGGGCGUAAAGGGAGCGCAGGCGGUGACUUAAGUCUGAUGUGAAAGCCCACGGCUCAACCGUGGAAGGUCAUUGGAAACUGGGUCACUUGAAUAUAGAAGAGGAAAGUGGAAUUCCAUGUGUAGCGGUGAAAUGCGUAGAUAUAUGGAGGAACACCAGUGGCGAAGGCGACUUUCUGGUCUAUUAUUGACGCUGAGGCUCGAAAGCAUGGGUAGCAAACAAGAUUAGAUACCCUGGUAGUCCAUGCCGUAAACGAUGAGUGCUUAGUGGUUGGGGGGCUUCCCCCCCCUCGGUGCCGGCGUUUAACCCAUUAAGCCCUCCCCGCCGGGGGAGUACGGGCCCCAAGGGUUAAACUCAAAAGGAUUUGACGGGGGACCCCCCACAGCCGGGGGAACAUGGGGGUU
rnacentral:rRNA from 1 species